rnacentral:rRNA from 1 species
AUUGAACGCUGGCGGCAGGCCUAACACAUGCAAGUCGAACGGUAACAGGAAGAAGCUUGCUUCUUUGCUGACGAGUGGCGGACGGGUGAGUAAUGUCUGGGAAACUGCCUGAUGGAGGGGGAUAACUACUGGAAACGGUAGCUAAUACCGCAUAACGUCGCAAGACCAAAAAGGGGGACCUUCGGGCCUCUUGCCAUCGGAUGUGCCCAGAUGGGAUUAGCUAGUAGGUGGGGUAACGGCUCACCUAGGCGACGAUCCCUAGCUGGUCUGAGAGGAUGACCAGCCACACUGGAACUGAGACACGGUCCAGACUCCUACGGGAGGCAGCAGUGGGGAAUGUUGCACAAUGGGCGCAAGCCUGAUGCAGCCAUGCCGCGUGUAUGAAGAAGGCCUUCGGGUUGUAAAGUACUUUCAGCGGGGAGGAAGGGAGUAAAGUUAAUACCUUGGCUCAUUGACGUUACCCGCAGAAGAAGCACCGGCUAACUCCGUG